UACGUAGGUGGCAAGCGUUGUCCGGAAUUAUUGGGCGUAAAGCGCGCGCAGGCGGUCUUGUAAGUCUGAUGUGAAAGCCCCCGGCUCAACCGGGGAGGGUCAUUGGAAACUGUGAGACUUGAGUGCAGAGGAGGAGAGUGGAAUUCCACGUGUAGCGGUGAGAUGCGUAGACAUGUGGAGAAACACCAGUGGCGAAGGCGACUCUCUGGUCUGUAACUGACGCUGAGGCGCGAAAGCGUGGGGAGCAAACAGG
rnacentral:misc_RNA from 1 species